UGGGUUUUCAAGCAUGAACUGCUCGUUUCAGGUCUAACAUCUCAAUUGGGAUUAGGUCUGGACUUUGACUAGGCCACCUUAGCCUAUGUCACAACAGAAAUACGAGGUGAGUCUUGGUGGGUAUUAGACUGUAGACACAUCCCAGCUUGACUGUCUCUGUGACUUUUGAAUAUCAUCAUCACAUGCUUACUUGACCCACAGAUCUCACACACACACAACCGUUGGGGUUGUUGUUUGCUUCCUCACAACGUAAGUAGAUCAUAAUUGCUAAUAGAGAAACGUGUCGCUGGUUUCUGAGAAUAAUUUCAAUACUUUACCCACAUAUGGCCUGAGUGGUAUCGUUAGUUGCGCUAAUCGUACAGCGAAACAUUGUUGUUAAUGUGUUAUAAAGGCCUGCAGGGGUCUUAGUGAGUUGAGGGGAAACACAGUCCUCUAUCUCAUCUCAGACAGGAAGUAUGGUAGCUACAGUUGUCCCAACACAACACCAAGACUGUAUAAAGGACUUAUAGCAGGCAGAGCAGUCAUAACUUUGAAUGCUGGAUAUUUCUGCAGACUUACUGACUUUGCUGUGUAGUUAACAAUAGAUACUUCCUCCUAUAGAGCAUAAUGAAGUCGACCAUAAUAGUUUCUGUUGGGUGCUUCCCCUGCCAUGAGGAACAUUGGUGUCUUCUUUUCCCCAUAGCUUACAAUGCUGUUAACACCUGGGAAAGUUUUUGCAUAUCUAUCAUGUGACGUAUUGAUAACGAAGCUACCUAAUGUCAUGUUGGAGUGCAACACAACUUCAAGGAUAACAACUUCAAGCAUAACAAGUAGGAUAACAUCCGCAUAUUAACAUCUCCUGAAGGACUGUGCUAUUGACUAAAUAGUUGUUUUAGUUUUUCGCAUUUUAAUGAUGCUGCAGAUAGUGCCGUUGUCUUUGAGUCCAAGAGGAUAUUUCUGCUAUUCCUACUGUGUUGUGAGGCUAGUGUUAAGGAAAUGCCCAAUCAAUUAUUACUCUAGUCUAGGUGCUGUCUGGCAGCUCAUGCAGUAUAUAUCCUCUUUGUUUUCCCAUAGCUGUCUCUCUAUGCCCCCCCCCCCCCCCCCCCCCACACACACACACACCUCUCAGUGUGAUAUGAGUUUAAUCCCUUGCAGAGUGCUUGUGGAAAUCUGUCUGGUAGUAGGAAAUGUUACAAGCCUCUGUUACUCAUCAAAGCCCUGGGCCAGGACACUUUCGCAGCUGGUGCGUAUAAUCACUGUCCCUUGUAGCAGUGGGAGACAGGUUAGAUCUUCAAUCCAAUCAGAGCUCACUCUGAAAGGGCAGGCCUGACAUCACCCUUUUCUCUCUCUAUCUCUCUCUCUGAGGCUGGAGGGACUGUAGCAAAGAGCUAGAGACCGGGUUUAGGCUAACAGUGGCUGAGGACGGCUCAGUGUAUGAGGGGCUAGAGGGGUGAUGGUCGGGGAGGGGGCUGGAGUAAAGACACAAGAGAGUCAUUAGGUUAGGAGAACUAUGCAGCAGGUUAGGAGAAUUAAAAUUGCAGGUUAGGAGAAUUGGGUUAAGGUUAGGAAAGGGUUAGGGAUAGCUCAAAUUCUUUCCUAACCUUCUACAAAAAGUCACUUCUGUCCGUAGCUGUACUCCCAUCUAGUCACAACUGUGGAGAGGGGCGUUUGUUAAUGUGAGGUAACGGACACUCAGAACCUCCACUCUGUUGCUACAGGUAAUGGAUCAAGGUAGCACGGUCAGGUCAUGACGCCGCCCCGGUCUCAGUCACAGUGCCGGACAACUGUCCCCUGGGUGCAUCGCUGGGGGACAAACGGACCCGUCCAAAACGGUUACUUCCACACUCCCUCUCAUGACCAUGCUGCCCCAAGGGCCUUGGCAGGGAGGAUGGCUCUUGUAGUGAACACUUGUCUGUGAGCUUUUACUCAUGGAGCCUACAUUGAAAAGGCAGAACUAAGCCAUGCUUAGAAGUUUAAAAUUGAUGGACCACAUAGAACAGCUUCUACAUGUAAAUGUGCAAAAGAGCAUAUAAAAAUGUAUGACUUGGUAUGCACUAUGCAUGGUUGAUUGAUUGAUUUUUAUUUGCCAGUUAAAAAAAAAAAAAACAUUAUACACAGUACAAUGGUUCUUUUUAUAAUUAUUGUGAUAUCUGCCGAUAGUAUAUCGCCGAUAGUAUACCCCCUCUACCCAGGCCUCGGUGGUAUCUACUUGUUUGUGUGGUGAGUCAUGCCUACCUACGCCAGCCUCCAUCCCACUCAAUACAGACCGGGUCACCAAGUCUGCUCCUCUGUGUUCAAGGCCGCCUGUGCUGCUGUGAGUGACUCACUGCCUCUCUCCACUCCUUCCAUUAAGAAGGUUAUGGCCUAAAAACAUAUAUUAGACCCUGGAUACGCAUUUCGGCAAAUUGCAAACUGCAGGUGGAGAGGGGCCUGGUUUCCUGUUUCCAUGACAACAUAUUUAAGUGAGAUCACAGCAUCGAUCAGACACAGUGGGUUUCUGACAGACUCAGGUCUCCAGUUACAGAAGAAUUGGAAGAAACCUCUUUGUUGAGUAACUCUUUGAAGGAGAUUGUGGGCAUCACCUUGGGAGUCAUAGGAUGCGUCAUCUCCAUAGUAGCCUCUGCUUUGCCCAUGUGUAGAGUGACUGCCUUCAUCCCUCUGGCCAUCUGGGAGGGCCUGUGGGUGAGCUGAUUGCUCAUGGGACAGUAAGUUCUACGACUCCCUCCUUCCCCAGGACCUGCAGGCCGGCCUUAGCCAUGACCAUCAUCGCCAUCAUCUUGGGGGUUCUGGGGGUGAUGGUCUUCAUCAUCGGAGCCAAGUGCACCAAAGAGGAACCAUCGAAGGCCAAGUUGAUAAUAAACACUGGAAAAUUCUUCAUCCUGGCUGGUAUACUCAUCAUCCGUGUCUCCUGGACAGCUAGCUACACCACCCGGAUGAGAAGUGUUCUCGAUGAAAACUGGCUCGCUCUACUUCAGCUGGGGGGGGGGUAGCGUCCCUGCUCCUGAUCGGAGGAGCUAUACUGUCCAGCUUGUGCCCCGUAGUGAGAUUGGCAUCAUUCUGGUGGAUAGUCUCCCUAGUGUCCUGUGCCGUCGAUUUAGUUUUUUCUUCUGGACCCUCCCAGUGGGGUCAUAUGGGCCCUGAUGAUGAUCACCUCCAUCUCAACCGUCCUUUGAUCUCUGGGAUUGAUUGGGGCCAUCUUUGGUCCAGUGCACCAACUGCGUCAAGAGUAACUGGUCCAGGGCCAAGGUGAUGUUCAUCAUUGGGAUAUUCUUCAUCAUGGCUGGUAUCCUCCAGCUUACCACUGUCUUCGUGGUUGCCCAUUACUUGAUACCAAAUAUUCCUAAAUACCAGCUGGAUUUUUUGGGGUCUUUUGGCUGAAUUCAGUCAGUGCACCGUCUCCAUACUCUGCAGGUGCAUCUUCAAGAGGAACUACUAACGGCUCUGUCCAGAGACUGUACUUUCUUGUAGUGAAAACCAUAGAGAUUCUAUAAUUGUGAUUCUAUAAUGUAAUUCUAUGAUGAAAACAACCUCUAUCCUAUCUGUUCAUGAUCUGAAAUGACCAGAUAAGUGUGUACUGUAAGCAACAUUAGUGUUCAGAUUUUUUUUUAAAUAAUAGCACCUUUCUUGCACCAACACUCGCACUUGUCUUUCUAGCAGUGACUUUGCUCUUAAUUCAGGAAAAAUGUAAUAAGUAGCUAUGAUAUGUGGUCUCACCUUGCUACCUUAAAGGACAAUUCUGCCACUUUUAAACCUUGUAUUCAUUAUCUCCAGCACCAUACCAGUGUCUACAUAUGUGAAAACGGCGGGUUUCUAUGAUCUGUGUGGUUAAAAAGAUAUGAAGAAAAGUCCUAAAAGAUGAUUCUCUGUGACAUGACGGGUUAGGAUUAAAUGUUAGUUUUUUUUAAACGGGGGUUUUCAAAACCUGCAACAAGUUUCUAGCCAGAGAGAGGGUAUUUUCUUGCUCCCCACGACACCAUGUCAUCGGGUAGAACUUUUUAAAUGUAUCGAUUUUUUUCUACAAAAUGAAGAAAUGCGAAGGUUUUCACAUGUGUAGACAAUGGUAUUGUGCUGAAGUAAUAAAAAUGAGGUUGAAAAGUGGUGGAGUUUCCCUUUAAAGAUGAAUGCACUAACUUUAAGUCGCUCUGGAUAAGUGUUUGCUAAAAUGCUGUUUAUUUCCCUGUUCUCACUUUAAAUAAAAGUCCCCAUCCUGAAUAUUG